rnacentral:rRNA from 1 species
GGCGAACGGGUGAGUAAUGCUUUGGAAUCUGCCCAGUAGUGGGGAAUAACCAGCCGAAAGGUUGGCUAAUACCGCAUACGACCCAUGGGUGAAAGCGGGGGAUCGCAAGACCUCGCGCUAUUGGAUGAGCCAAAGUCGGAUUAGCUAGUUGGUGAGGUAACGGCUCACCAAGGCGACAAUCCGUAGCUGGUCUGAGAGGACGACCAGCCACACUGGGACUGAGACACGGCCCAGACUCCUACGGGAGGCAGCAGUGGGGAAUAUUGGACAAUGGGGGCAACCCUGAUCCAGCGACGCCGCGUGUGUGAAGAAGGCCUGCGGGUUGUAAAGCACUUUUAGUGGGGAGAAAAAGCUACGGGCUAAUACCCUGUGGUCUUGAUUUAACCCAAAGAAAAAGCACCGGCUAACUCUGUGCCAGCAGCCGCGGUAAUACAGAGGGUGCAAGCGUUAAUCGGAAUUAUUGGGCGUAAAGCGUGCGUAGACGGUUAUUUAAGUCGGGUGUGAAAUCCCCGGGCUCAACCUGGGAAUUGCAUUCGAUACUGGAUAGCUAGGGUGCGGAAGAGGGAAGCGGAAUUUC